GUGUCAGCAGCCGCGGUAAAACGUAGGGGGCAAGCGUUGUUCGGAAUUACUGGGCGUAAAGCGCGUGUAGGCGGUUUGGUAAGUCGGAAGUGAAAUUCCUCGGCUCAACCGAGGAACUGCUUUCGAAACUACUGAACUUGAGUAUGGGCGGGGAGAGCGGAAUUCCCGGUGUAGCGGUGAAAUGCGUAGAUAUCGGGAAGAACACCAGUGGCGAAGGCGGCUCUCUGGACCAUUACUGACGCUGAGACGCGAAAGCGUGGGUAGCAAACAGGAUUAGAUACCCCGGUAGUCC
rnacentral:rRNA from 1 species